CCGGCGACCGGCGCACGGGUGAGUAACACGUAUGCAACCUGCCCUCUUCAGGGGGACAACCUUCCGAAAGGGAGGCUAAUCCCGCGUAUAUCGGUUUCGGGCAUCCAAGAUCGAGGAAAGAUUCAUCGGAAGAGGAUGGGCAUGCGGCGCAUUAGCUAGACGGCGGGGUAACGGCCCACCGUGGCGACGAUGCGUAGGGGUUCUGAGAGGAAGGUCCCCCACACUGGUACUGAGACACGGACCAGACUCCUACGGGAGGCAGCAG
rnacentral:rRNA from 1 species